ACGGGAGGCAGCAGUGAGGAAUAUUGGUCAAUGGACGCAAGUCUGAACCAGCCAUGCCGCGUGCAGGAAGACGGCUCUAUGAGUUGUAAACUGCUUUUGUACGAGGGUAAACGCUCUUACGUGUAAGAGCCUGAAAGUAUCGUACGAAUAAGGAUCGGCUAACUCCGUGCCAGCAGCCGCGGUAAUACGGAGGAUCCAAGCGUUAUCCGGAUUUAUUGGGUUUAAAGGGUGCGUAGGCGGUUUGAUAAGUUAGAGGUGAAAUACCGGUGCUUAACACCGGAACUGCCUCUAAUACUGUUGAACUAGAGAGUAGUUGCGGUAGGCGGAAUGUAUGGUGUAGCGGUGAAAUGCUUAGAGAUCAUACAGAACACCGAUUGCGAAGGCAGCUUACCAAACUAUAUCUGACGUUGAGGCACGAAAGCGUGGGGAGCAAACAGGAUUAGAUACCCUGGUAGUCCACGCAGUAAACGAUGAUAACUCGCUGUCGGCGAUACACAGUCGGCG
rnacentral:rRNA from 1 species